GAUGAACGCUGGCGGCGUGUCUAAUACAUGCAAGUCGAACGAAGAUCUAGCUUGCUAGAUCUUAGUGGCGAACGGGUGAGUAAUACAUAAAUAAUCUGCCCAUAUGACUGGGAUAACUAUUGGAAACGAUAGCUAAUACCGGAUAGGUUGAUUGGAGGCAUCUCUGAUUAAUUAAAGUAGGAUUUCUACAAAAUUGGAUGAGUUUAUGGGGCAUUAGUUAGUUGGUGGGGUAACGGCCGACCAAGACGAUGAUGCGUAGCCGACCUGAGAGGGUGACCGGCCACACUGGGACUGAGACACGGCCCAGACUCCUACGGGAGGCAGCAGUAGGGAAUUUUCGGCAAUGGGCGCAAGCCUGACCGAGCAACGCCGCGUGAGUGAUUAAGGCCUUCGGGUUGUAAAGCUCUGUUGUAAGGGAAGAACAUUCAGGAUAGGAAAUGAUCUUGAACUGACGGUACCUUACCAGAAAGCCACGGCUAACUACGUGCCAGCCGCCGCUGUAAAAC
rnacentral:rRNA from 1 species